AGGCCAGAAAAAAUGAACUCUCAUAUUUGGUUACAUGCUGCAUGAUUGAAGGUUUAUGAAGGGAUCCUACAUCCAUAUGACAAAGGACUAUCAUACCAUCAUGGAGCUGGAGAAGAAGAGAAAGGAAUUAUUUGCAGGAAUUAUUUAUAACUAUACGACAAAGAGCAUAACACUUGCUUAUGAGAGUUAUUGAUGGAUUUGGAGGUAGAUCUAUGUUCUCUCAUUCAACUCAUGGCUUUGUAGUAUUGUUUUUCACAGUAGAUGAUUUAUACGUUGACACCUAUAUAUCAGUACAAUUGGAGUGGACUUUGUAAGCAUUCACAUCCACCACUUAACCUCUGCAAAUCUCUGGUUUCUAUUGGUUAAGAAGAUUACAUAAUGCAAGUAUAGCUAAAGUGUGGAAUAUUUAUCUGUUUUAUAAGAUCUGAAGGGAAGCUGUUAGCAAGCUUAGUUAACGAGGAUUGACACUGGAAAGAUAAUGUAGAAGGUAAUGCAAUACUUGCCUUUGUAAGUUUCUAUUGUUAUACACUAGAAAGAUAAUGUAGGAAGUAAUACAUGUUGCAUUAGGUUAGAUCGGUAAUUAAUAAUAUGGGGUGGAAAUGCAUUCAAAGAAUUCCCUGUUUCAAGUUUGAAUGCAAGCUGUUUUUUUUUUUUUAUUUUGAACACAAAUCAUACACUCUAUUGAUGGUUUAUUGAUUAAAGUGAUGGCAUGGUGCCAUUGGCCUUCCUUUACAUUGUGUGAGUAGAUAUCUUGCUAUAGAUUUCUAUGUUUAGCUUGCACUAGAUUUUGUGAUGCUAGAGCAAGAUAUGAGUAGGAAUUUCUCAAAGUUAUCGAGUCACCAUUGGUAUGAGAGAAAUUGUACACUAAGAUAGUUAGUUUUGGUUGUAAGAUUUUAGGUAUUCAUUCUAAUUCUAAAUUAUAACAGACAUGAAUUUUGUUAUAAUGUGUUUCACUGCCAUAAUCUACCAUGUUAGUUAUAAGUAAUAUGUUGGAUUGUUAGUCAUAAGAUUCAAUGUUUCCUCAUAGUCAUAAGAUUCAAUGUUUCCUCAUUAAUGUUAAUGGGUGAAGUGUAGCUUCAUAAUAAUGAAGCAGGCUGAGUAUAUCUUUGAAUUGACAAUAAGAUUGGCUGAAUCGCGGUGUACCAGGGUGAUUUUAGUAAAAACUAUACUUU